rnacentral:rRNA from 1 species
GACGAACGCUGGCGGCGUGCUUAACACAUGCAAGUCGAACGGAAAGGCCUCUUUCGGGGGGUACUCGAGUGGCGAACGGGUGAGUAACACGUGAGUAACCUGCCCUUGACUUUGGGAUAACUUCAGGAAACUGGGGCUAAUACCGGAUAGGAGCUCCUGCUGCAUGGUGGGGGUUGGAAAGUUUCGGCGGUUGGGGAUGGACUCGCGGCUUAUCAGCUUGUUGGUGGGGUAGUGGCUUACCAAGGCUUUUACGGGUAGCCGGCCUGAGAGGGUGACCGGCCACAUUGGGACUGAGAUACGGCCCAGACUCCUACGGGAGGCCGCAGUGGGGAAUAUUGCACAAUGGGUGGAAGCCUGAUGCAGCAACGCCGUGUGCGGGAUGACGGCCUUCGGGUUGUAAACCGCUUUCGCUCAUGACGAAGCUUUGUGUGACGGUAGUGGGUAAAGAAGCACCGGCUAACUACGUG